AUGCCCGGCGACGACUCGCGCUGCCGGAAGCACCCGCCCGUGCCCUGCGGCGGCGUGUGCCCGCACUGCCUCUGCGACCGCCUCCUCCGCCUCUGCCCCGACUGCGCGCGCACGCGCCCCUGCGCCUGCGCCUCCCCCUCCUCCCCGUCCUCCUCGGCGUCCUCCGCCUCCGUCGGCCGGGUCUGCAGCCUCAUCGAGCGGGAGCGCCGGAUCGGGCGCUCGCGGUCCGUGGCCGGCGGCAUCGGCGCCGACGAGAGGCGCCGGUCCAGGGUCUGGGGCUGGGCCUCGUUCCGGAAGCCUGCGGUCGGCAAGGGAAUGGAGUUGGAGAGCGAGGAGGAGCGCCACGUCGCCGAGGACGCGGCGGCAUUGGAGCGGUCGAGCUCCGCCUCCGCGGAGAAGUUGGCGCCCAAAACGGGAGGGUGGGGGCGGUUCCUCCCCGGCCCGAUCAAGGCGCUGCGCCACCGCAAGUCGCGCGCUUCCGCCGGCGCCAGCGCCCGAGGCGAUCGCCGGGAGGGCGUGAGGUGA
rnacentral:rRNA from 1 species